UACAGAGGUCUCAAGCGUUGUUCGGAUUCAUUGGGCGUAAAGGGCGCGUAGGCGGCGGCGUAAGUUCGUGGUGAAAUCCCAUCGGCUCAACCGUGGAAUUGCUUCGAAUACUGCGUCGCUCGAGGGAGAUAGGGGACCGCAGAACUGCCGGUGGAGCGGUGAAAUGUGUUGAUAUCGGCGGGAAUGCCAGUGCCGAAAGGGGCGGUCUGGACCUCUUCUGACGCUGAGGCGCGAAAGCUAGGGGAGCGAACGGG
rnacentral:rRNA from 1 species